UACUCGAGUGGCGAACGGGUGAGUAACACGUGGGUGAUCUGCCCUGCACUCUGGGAUAAGCCUGGGAAACUGGGUCUAAUACCGGAUAGGACCAUGCUUUAGUGUGUGUGGUGGAAAGUUUUUUCGGUGUAGGAUGAGCCCGCGGCCUAUCAGCUUGUUGGUGGGGUAAUGGCCUACCAAGGCGGCGACGGGUAGCCGGACUGAGAGGUUGGUCGGCCACAUUGGGACUGAGAUACGGCCCAU
rnacentral:rRNA from 1 species